GAUCCUGGCUCAGGAUGAACGCUGGCGGCGUGCCUAACACAUGCAAGUCGAACGAAGUUAGACAGAGGAAGUUUUCGGAUGGAAUCAGUAUAACUUAGUGGCGGACGGGUGAGUAACGCGUGGGAAACCUGCCCUGUACCGGGGGAUAACACUUAGAAAUAGGUGCUAAUACCGCAUAAGCGCACGGAACCGCAUGGUUCCGUGUGAAAAACUCCGGUGGUACAGGAUGGUCCCGCGUCUGAUUAGCCAGUUGGCAGGG
rnacentral:rRNA from 1 species